UGCAGUGAGGCUUCUGGGCCAUCUUGGUUC
rnacentral:piRNA from 2 species